UGCUGCGUAGAAAAGCUACUAUCCGUGCUCGUCCACAACAUACCCAGCUUAAAAAUGAUUUGAUCGAGCAUAUUUGGCAUAGGUUUCGAAAUAGCCGUCAUAAUUAAUCAUGGACUGAGCAACGAGUGGUGAUUGCUGCAGGUGGUGUUUGCAGUCUUGAAGUAUAUUGAUGCAAAAGGACGGUCGCUCCUUUCUACAAAGUUUCAGCUAUGCUUUGUGACUUUCUGUGUGUGCUCUAGAUCAAAACUAAUGGCUUGUUCGCCUAAGAUCAUAUUUGGUACUAUGUUUGGUUGAUGACUUCUGAUAGACUCAUGUAAUGUUUAAGUGUCGAUGUGAUGGUGCUAUGUUCCACCAGUUUGUUGCUUAUCGUUUGUCUAGAUCGAAAUUAACGGCUCGUUUGCCGAAGAUCUUAUUUGUUAUGUAAUGUUUAAAUGUGGUCUGAAUAUUAAUCAGUUUGUCUCGUCACAUCCUGUUGGCAUGAAUGGCAUAUAUAUCUAUGGUGUUUGAAA